AACUCUUAGCAGUGGAUCACUCGACUUGUGCGUUGAUGAAGUACACAGCUAGCUGUGAGAACUAAUGUGAAUUGCAGGACACAUUGAUCAUCAACACUUUGAAUGCACCUUGCGGCCACGGGUUUCUCCCCGGGCUACGCCUGUCUGAGGAUCA
rnacentral:rRNA from 1 species